rnacentral:lncRNA from 1 species
UUGCAGAAAUUCACAAAUAAGAUUAUGGUAGUAAUUGCCAAAAUCUGCUUUACUUGUCUUCUAUUCUUGAAAUAGCUGCUUGUCAUGAAUAGAAUUUGUAGGGAAGGUGUCUUGUUUGUUGGAGCAGAACUUCAAUGUGUUCUUUUUCUUUUUUCUAAUAAAUAUUGUCCGGGUGCACACUUUUGGUAGUUUUGUGGAUUUUAUAGAUUUAAACCAUUCAGGUGUAAUUUAAGAUUGUUGAAAACCUGGAAUGAUCUGAUUUUAUGUGAUAAUCAUUUAGGAAAUAUUUGGGAGAUUGAAUUAACUUUAACAAUGGACAUAGAGUGCAGUUUUUCAAUUGAAACAUCACUAUGUCAAUCUUUUGUACUGUUUUGUUGUUCAGGUGUAAUUUAAGAUUGUUGAAAACCUGGAAUGAUCUGAUUUUAUAUGUGAUAAUCAUUUAGGAAAUAUUUGGGAGAUUGAAUUAACUUUAACAAUGGACAUAGAGUGCAGCUUUUCAAUUGAAACAUCACUGUGAAUCUUUUGUACUGUUUUGUUGUUCACACUCGAUGCAUUCUACCAAUAUUUUCUAAAUUUCUCUUGUUUCCUUUCAG